CCAAUAUUCACUACAGAAGAAUUUGCGGCGGUGUACAUACGGCGGUUUACUAAAAAUGCCACAAAUACCAUAUAUUAUAGCGGUUUUUCAUCCGCCGUAUCAAACGUUUCAAAACCGGCGGUCUAAUGUACAUGUUGGCCGGCUUAAAACGUCGAAUACUCACAAAUUAGGAGUCCCCUUACUCUCUCAAACCCUAUUCUCUGCCUUUCUCGCGCAAGUGAUCGGUGGCGAUUCCAUUUUCUUCUCCUCUUCUCGCCAUGUCUCCUAUGAAGCUCACAGAUUCAGGCAGAAGAGGAGAUUUUGUAAAUUGUGUAUUUCUUUUUCCUUGUGAAUAGUGAUGGGCGAAAGAGAGUUGUGGAAGCAGAUGCUGGAGUUGUCGCCGAAGCAAAAUCGGCUACAGAGACAGAAGGUGAAAGUGCUUAGUAGACUCCAGGAUUUAAAUCUCGAAGAGGUUAACUCCCUGGCUUUGAAGAUCAACUUUGGCUUCAAUUUAAUCACCUACCUGUUCGGUUAACUUCGUAAACCCCAUCUUUCCUCAUUUUUUGAUUUUUUGCUAUUUGUACUGGUUAAUUGAGUAAUUGAUCCAUUUUUUGCCUCAUAAGCUUAAGUUUUGAAGUUUUUGUUACUGAAUUCGGGUGCGUGCAAACAUUUGUUGAAUGUGAAUGUGGAAAGAGCAGAAGAUGUACUUAUGCAUAAGAGAUGAUGGACAUAACAGGGGAUCCUAAGAAUGCCUUUGAUAUCCACCUUGUGUAGGUUACACUCUUAUCUGCUUUUCAAGCAUUUUGAUGUGUGCUUGCCUUGUAUAUGCAUUUUCUCUUGAUAAUUCUAGAAACCGACAUCAAGUUGAAAUGACAUUUGAAAAACUUCAUUGUGAUCGUAGCUGAUGUAUAAGAGAUGAUGGACAUUGCAGGGGAUCCUGAAAAUGCCUUUGAUAUCCACCUUGUGUAGGUUACACUCUUACCUGCUUUUCGAGCAUUUUGAUGUGUGCUUGCCUUGUAUAUGCAUUUUCUCUUGAUAACUCUAAAAACCGACAUCAAGUUGAAAUGACAUUUGAAAAACUGCAUUGUGAUCGUAGCUGAUUAAGUUGGGGAUUUGAUUCACCGCCUAAGAUGUUCCCAAGAAGCACAUGAUCUGUUAUGUGAUUGCUUUUAAGGUAGUUGAGAGCAGUACUUGGUUUCCCACCAAGAGCUUUGCCUCCACCACCGCCAGAAGGUCUUCAUCUGGAAUUAGGAUGAUGCAGAUACUUUAUGGAAAUUAUACUGAUGAAAAACACUAUGCUACUAAGGUAAAAUUUCUAACAUAUCUAGUUAGCAUUAGUGAAUUUACUUUAGUAUUCUGUCAUGAUAUUUACUUGGAUUCAUUGUGUACUUAGUUGUAUUUUCAUUGGAUAGGUAUUGCUCUUACUUUGUUUGUAUUUGUUUGGCUAAGUCCUUAUCAUUACUACAUGUGUUGCAAUAGUUGUAUUUUCAUUGGAUAGGUAUUGCUCUUACCUUUUUUGUAUUUGUUUGGCUGAGUCCUUUUUAUCAUUACUGCAUGCAUGUGUUGCAAUACCUAGAACUUGAAUGUCUCAAACCAGAUAUAACACUCUCUCUUCAUGAGUAAUUAAUGUGUUUGGCAUAUAGAAGUUGUUGUAACUGUUGUAUAGCAUUAGUGAAUAUGAUGCAUUGAGAGGCAUAGGGAAUCAUGGAAAGUUGUGGCACUUAUCCUCGUAGCAUCGCCGAAUGGUACACAACUCACACUAGAAAUGAAUCUAGUUCUAUAGAAUUUAAUCUCAGAUCACAGGUAAGUUAAAUCAAGUUCUUGUUUUUAUCCCUGAAAGAUAGGUUAAUCAAGUAUUGAUUCAAUUGUUACUUAACUUAGGUAAGAAGAACACAAAUAAGGGGAAUUUGAGGAAGCUGCAAGAGCUUGUCCCUAAUAUGGACAAGGUAAGGUGACAUUCAUUCACCUGAUAGCCAAAAAGAUCACCAGAUGAAUCUUACCACCGUAGAUCAUGUGAGUCCUCAUCGUAUGGUACUUUUAAAAUAUGAUAUGGUUAAUUUUCUUCAAGGAAAUGGAUGUAAAACAUUACUCCUUAAUAUUUUAAGAAUUUCAUUAUGUAACUUUGAAAUACUUAUGUUUUCCAUAAAUGGUGAAUGACUUGUUUCACUAA